rnacentral:rRNA from 1 species
UACGUAGGGUCCGAGCGUUGUCCGGAUUUAUUGGGCGUAAAGAGCUCGUAGGCGGUUCCGUAAGUCAGAUGUGAAAACUCAGAGCUCAACCCGGAGACGCCAUCUGAUACUGCGGUGACUGGAGUCUGGUAGGGGAACACGGAAUUCCUGGUGUAGCGGUGAAAUGCGCAGAUAUCAGGAGGAACACCGAUGGCGAAGGCAGUGUUCUGGGCCAGUACUGACGCUGAGGAGCGAAAGCGUGGGGAGCAAACAGG